rnacentral:hammerhead_ribozyme from 1 species
AUCCAGCUGAAGAGUCCCAGCUAGGAGGAAACACAAGUCCUGGAG